AGUGAACGCUGGCGGUAGGCCUAACACAUGCAAGUCGAACGGCAGCACAGUAAGAGCUUGCUCUUACGGGUGGCGCGUGGCGGACGGGUGAGGAAUACAUCGGAAUCUACUUUUUCGUGGGGGAUAACGUAGGGAAACUUACGCUAAUACCGCAUACGACCUACGGGUGAAAGCAGGGGAUCUUCGGACCUUGCGCGAUUGAAUGAGCCGAUGUCGGAUUAGCUAGUUGGCGGGGUAAAGGCCCACCAAGGCGACGAUCCGUAGCUGGUCUGAGAGGAUGAUCAGCCACACUGGAACUGAGACACGGUCCAGACUCCUACGGGAGGCAGCAGUGGGGAAUAUUGGACAAUGGGCGCAAGCCUGAUCCAGCCAUACCGCGUGGGUGAAGAAGGCCUUCGGGUUGUAAAGCCCUUUUGUUGGGAAAGAAAAGCAGCAGGUUAAUACCCCGCAGUUCUGACGGUACCCAAAGAAUAAGCACCGGCUAACUUCGUG
rnacentral:rRNA from 1 species